GAUGAACGCUAGCUACAGGCUUAACACAUGCAAGUCGAGGGACCGGCGCACGGGUGAGGAACACGUAUCCAACCUGCCCUUUACUCGGGGAUAGCCUUUCGCAAGAAAGAUUAAUACCCGAUAUAAAGGAUGGGGAUUCUUUCCAUUAGGUUGUUGGUGAGGUAACGGCUCACCAAUCCUUCGAUGGAUAGGGGUUCUGAGAUGAAGGUCCCUCACAUGGGAAACGAGACACGGUCCAAACUCCUACGGGAGGCAGGAGUGAGGAAUAUUGGUCAAUGGGCGGUAGCCUGAACCAGCCAAGUAUCGUGAAGGAUGAAGGCUUAUGGGUCGUAAACUUCUUGUAUAUAAGAAUAUGUAUUAUAUGAAUAAGGAUCGGCUAACUCCGUGCCAGCAGCCGCGGUAAUAC
rnacentral:rRNA from 1 species